AGUGAACGCUGGCGGUAGGCCUAACACAUGCAAGUCGAACGGCAGCACAGUAAGAGCUUGCUCUUACGGGUGGCGAGUGGCGGACGGGUGAGGAAUACAUCGGAAUCUACUUUUUCGUGGGGGAUAACGUAGGGAAACUUACGCUAAUACCGCAUACGACCUACGGGUGAAAGCAGGGGAUCUUCGGACCUUGCGCGAUUGAAUGAGCCGAUGUCGGAUUAGCUAGUUGACGGGGUAAAGGCCCACCAAGGCGACGAUCCGUAGCUGGUCUGAGAGGAUGAUCAGCCACACUGGAACUGAGACACGGUCCAGACUCCUACGGGAGGCAGCAGUGGGGAAUAUUGGACAAUGGGGGCAAGCCUGAUCCAGCCAUACCGCGUGGGUGAAGAAGGCCUUCGGGUUGUAAAGCCCUUUUGUUGGGAAAGAAAAGCAGCAGGUUAAUACCCCGCUGUUCUGACGGUACCCAAAGAAUAAGCACCGGCUAACUUCGUG
rnacentral:rRNA from 1 species